rnacentral:rRNA from 1 species
AGGGCAAGUCUGGUGCCAGCAGCCGCGGUAAUUCCAGCUCCAAUAGCGUAUAUUAAAGUUGUUGCAGUUAAAAAGCUCGUAGUUGAAUUUCGGGGUCAGCAGGUCGGUCGUGCCAAUGGUAUGCACUGGCCUUGCUGAUUCCUCCCUCUUGAUGAGCCGUAAUGCCAUUAAUUUGGUGUUGCGGGGAAUCAGGACUGUUACUUUGAAAAAAUUAGAGUGUUUAAAGCAGGCAAGCGCUUGAAUACAUUAGCAUGGAAUAAUGAAAUAGGACGUUUGAUCCUAUUUUGUUGGUUUCUAGGAUUGACGUAAUGAUUAAUAGGGAUAGUUGGGGGCAUUAGUAUUCAAUUGUCAGAGGUGAAAUUCUUGGAUUUAUUGAAGACUAACUACUGCGAAAGCAUUUGCCAAGGAUGUUUUCAUUAAUCAAGAACGAAAGUUAGGGGAUCGAAGACGAUCAGAUACCGUCGUAGUCUUAACCAUAAACUAUGCCGACUAGGGAUCGGAUGAUGUUAAUUUUUUAAUGACUCAUUCGGCGCCUUACGGGAA